UACGUAGGGUCCGAGCGUUGUCCGGAGUUACUGGGCGUAAAGGGCGCGUAGGCGGCUUCUUGCGUCCAACGUGAAAGCCCCUGGCUCAACCAGGGAGGGUCGUGGGAAACGGGGGAGCUGGAGGCAGCGAGAGGCUGGUGGAAUUCCCGGAGUAGUGGUGAAAUGCGUAGAGAUCGGGAGGAACACCGGUGGCGAAGGCGGCCAGCUGGCGCUGACCUGACGCUGAGGCGCGAAGGCGUGGGGAGCGAACGGG
rnacentral:rRNA from 1 species